rnacentral:tRNA from 1 species
UUCCAUUUAGUUCAAUAAGAAUAAUUACUUGCAAAGUAAUAGGUGAAGAAUAUAACUUCAGUGGAUU